AUUGAACGCUGGCGGCAUGCCUUACACAUGCAAGUCGAACGGCAGCACGGGGCAACCUGGUGGCGAGUGGCGAACGGGUGAGUAAUGCAUCGGAACGUGCCAUUGAGUGGGGGAUAACGUAGCGAAAGUUGCGCUAAUACCGCAUAUUCUGUGAGCAGGAAAGCAGGGGACCGCAAGGCCUUGCGCUCUUUGAGCGGCCGAUGUCAGAUUAGCUAGUUGGUGAGGUAACGGCUUACCAAGGCGACGAUCUGUAGCGGGUCUGAGAGGAUGAUCCGCCACACUGGAACUGAGACACGGUCCAGACUCCUACGGGAGGCAGCAGUGGGGAAUUUUGGACAAUGGGGGCAACCCUGAUCCAGCCAUUCCGCGUGAGUGAAGAAGG
rnacentral:rRNA from 1 species